GGGCGUAUAGCUCUAACGGUAGAGCGUCUGAUUCCAAAUCAGAAGGCUGCAGGUUCGAAUCCUGCUGCGCCCGCCA
rnacentral:tRNA from 1 species